AUCCAGCUGACGAGUCCCAAAUAGGACGAAGUGGCGCGCGUUAAACUGGAU
rfam:Schistosoma rodhaini strain Burundi genome assembly, scaffold: SROB_scaffold0000191